rnacentral:rRNA from 1 species
CCCGCUGAACUUAAGCAUAUCAAUAAGCGGAGGAAAAGAAACUAACCAGGAUUCCCCUAGUAACGGCGAGUGAAGCGGGAACAGCUCAAAUUUGAAAUCUCCUCCGGGCGAAUUGUAGUUUCGAGAAUCGUUUUCGGCUCUAGGGCAGGUACAAGUUCAUUGGAACAUGACAUCAAAGAGGGUGAAAAUCCCGUUUUUGACCUGCUCUCCGAGUCAUGUGAUACGGUUUCCAAGAGUCGGUUUGUUUGGGAAUGCAGACCAAAACGGGAGGUAAAUACCUUCUAAAGCUAAAUAUUGGCGAGAGACCGAUAGCGAACAAGUACCGUGAGGGAAAGAUGAAAAGAACUUUGAAAAGAGAGUUAAACAGUACGUGAAAUUGUCAAAAGGGAAACGUUUGAAACCAGUAUUGGGCGGUCGUAUUCAGCCUGGAGAGUAGUCUAGGUGUAAUUACGGGCGGCCGAGUCAACAUCAGUUUUCCGGGUCGGAACGCAUGCGGAGAAGGUAGCCCUUUGGGUGAUAUAUCAGCGCAUGGACGGCGGCGGGGAAGACUGAGGACUGCAGCGUUUCGGGCCCACGGGCACUCCAGCGCUUUGGAUGUUGACGAAAUGGUUUUAAGCGACCCGUCUUGAAACACGG